rnacentral:lncRNA from 1 species
UACCGUAAUCGAUCAGUUGGUUUAUUACAAAACGACAAUUAUUAUAAAAAAGGGAAAUUAUUGUAGCAAGGAUUCAGGGUGCAGAGAGAAAGAGAGAGAGAGAGUCACCACCGUGGAUCCAGCGGCGUCCUGGGGAUCCGUCGUUGUCAGUGGAGGGAGUCUUUCAGGGUUCAUAGUUGAUAUUGGAGCAGUGCCCCCUCAGAGUCCGUAGUAGUCGUCGGAGGUGGUUGUCCUCGUGGAAGUGUCCUUCUGGAGUUGUCCCCUUGAAGGUACCCCUGGAGGUGUCAUGACAGAGCUGCCCUCGUGGCAACAUCUCAUGGAGGGUGUCCCUCAGGGUCCGUAGUAGUCAUCGGUGGAGACUGUUCUCACGGAGGUGUCCACUUGGGGUCACCCUCAUGGCAAUAGCUCCCUUCAUGAUUACCUUUUCCCCCUUUUAUGAGUUGGGGGGAGUACCUCUGUUCUUCAUGUCACAUAUUACACGUUCCUGGUGGACCAGUUUCCCUGGUCUUGCAGCCAGCCCUUCAACUGCACGUGCCUGCAGCGAUUCUUGGAAUAAUGGGCAGCAAUUCCUCACACCAAUCCUUGAGGUAAUGGACUGAAGAGAUUUAUCUCAGCUCUUUCCCACUCAUCCCUCACACAACGGACGGUGGAGUCCCAGUUCAGCUCCUUACACCCUUCUCCCAGGCAAUGGAUACUGGAGUCUUAACUCCUCCCACCCAUCUCUGAGGCAAUGGAUUGGUGGCCUUCCAUCUCUGCUUCUCAUACCAAUCUUUGAGACAAUGGACAGUGGAGUCUGAUUUCAGAUCAGUCUCUCACACCCUUCUCUGUGUUAUUGCUGUGAGCCUCUUGCUUUUUUCCUAGCACUAAUUAAAAGCAAUUUGUAGGCAGAUAUAUCUCCCUGUAGUUAUAAAUCAUGUAAUGCAAUGAGAUCCAGUACCAGAUGUGAACAUACACCUGGCAGUGCAAGCAAGCACUUAACAGCUAUGCAAAAAUGUACAAAAAAGGUGGUUUAAAAUAAAUUAAUAAAUAGCAGAAUUAAAGAAGGUGGAGCUUUUAAUUUAAUACAUCUUUUUAAUGAUCUUGAAUUUCAGUGCUGGAAAAGGGCAGGUGAGGUACAGGUGCAGAGCUAACUUUCUGUGUUCUCUCUUGGUAUCAUUAGGUGUAUCAAGACUGUGUAUCAAGACAACAGCAGUAAGUCAUAUGAGAGAAGUCUGGCAUUUAAAAGCAGCAGCAUUAAUCAUGAAUGAACUUGAAUUAAUAUUAUUUAUUAUUUAUAUUACAGUAUACCAUGGGUCUCUUGUAGGUUCUAAUUUAAGAAAAGAUGCAAUAUGCUGGUGGAACAGACAAUUCAAGGAACAAGAAGGAUGCCUGCAAGAGGGAGGCACCAUCACUAGACUGCCUGUAUUUAUACUGUCUUCUGCAGAUUGAAUGGCUUAAAAAAAAAAAGAAAUAAAUCAUUCAACCAAAAGACAUCAACACUUGCAAUCAUUUCAUAUUGAAGCACUGCUCUUCUGUCACACAUGGGGACUUUGGAAAGAAUCGAAAGCUGCUUUCCAGAAUAAUUC